GCAGAUACAUAAUCUCGACCUUCACCUGACAGAGUUGGAUGGUUAGGGCUGUGCCAGAAAACAUCUUGCUCCUGCCAUUUGGGCUGAGAUGACCUUCCAUCACCUACAGCUGAUAGAAGGUAGCAGGGUAGGGCUGGUGUCACUAUGUACUUGCCUUCUGCGGCUAGUAGCUACUUCCCAUUCAGGACCUA